UUUUUUUUUCUUUUUAAAGGUAGGGUCUCAUGUAGCCCAGGCUGGCCUGCCACCUCCCAAGCACUGGGAUUAAGGUAUGUGCUACUGUACCAAGCUCUGUUAUCUUUUCUUUUUACUUGAAAGUGGGACCUUUUCUAUUACACAGCACUGGCUGCUCUGAAACUUGUCCUGUAGACCAGGCUAGCCCCAAACUCACAGAUAUUCGCUCACCUCUGCCUUCCUGAACACUGGAAUUAAAGGUGUGUGCUACUAUGCCCAGCUCUAAAUCAACCAGAUUAUUCUCCUGCAUGGGAGCAUCAUUAUUGAUGAAAUGGGAACUACUCCUUCUAAUACUUUAACUAAUUUUUUUAUUUAAUUAAAAUUAAUUCAAGCUGGAGAGAUGGCUCAGCGGUUAAGAGCACUGACUGCUCUUCUGGAGGUCCUGAGUUCAAAUCUCAGCAACCACAUGGUGGCUCACAAGCAUCUGUAAUGAGAUCUGACGCCCUUUUCAGGUGUGUCUGAAGACAGCUACAGAGUACUUACAUAUAAUAAAUAAAUUUAAUUCUUUUGUUUGUCUGUUUGUUUUGUUUUGUUUUGUUUUGUUUUUCGAGACAGGGUUUCUCUGUGCAGCUCUGGCUGCCCUGGAACUCACUCUGUAGACCAGGCUGGCCUCGAACUCAGAAAUCCACCUAUCUAUGCCUCCUGAGUGCUGAGAUUAAAGGCAUGCGCCACCACUGCCUGGCAAAAUUAAUUCUUUGUGUUUCUGCGUUGUGGGAGGAGUGUGCAUUGCCACAGCACUUGUGUAAUGUCAGCGAAUCACUUCUGGAGAGAGUGUCCUCUCCUACCAUGUGGGGAUUGGGGAUGGAGCUCAGGUCAUCAGGCAUGGUGACAAAUGCCUUCCUUUACUGGCUGGGCCAUCUUACUGGCUUCUACCUUCUAUUUCUCAAGCCACCAGAUCAAUUCUAUUAUGGCAGAUUAAACCAAUUAAGACAAAUGGCCAGACAGUUUAAAGAGCAACCUAGGAAGCCACAAGAACAUUUGCAUCUGAGGUGGUUUUUGUCUUAAUCAAUAGUUAAAAUGGGGACAUGGUGUGAUUUCUGUAUCUCUGUCUGCCUCGUGUGUGUGUGUAUGUGUGUUAAUGUGUGCCUGCCUACACUCAGGCUUACACACAUUAACCUGCUUUAAAAAAAAAAAUAUUUACCAGGAACUUAUAAUGUGCCAAGAGCUGUUCUAUCAAAACGCACGAGGUCUUUGGUUCAGUGCCGCCUACAGCAUAGUGGUAGAGAGUGACAGAACGCAGAUGGGGACAGCCACUUAGAAUGGGUGAAUACUGAGGAUGAGUGGAGGCAUGGCUUUCUGAAGAGACUACCCCAGAUAAAGUAACCUUCCUGUAGGGUGACACUGGACAAUGAAGACAGUCGUACCGUGGAGGAGGUAAGAGAAGCCUGCGAAGUACAAAGGCCGAGAGGCAGGAGGAGACCCAGCAUCUCCAAGGAGGAGCAAGUGUGCCGUGGCUGUGGGCAGCGAGGGGCACAGAUGGCAAAGUGAAAUCAUGGAGUGGGCCAUGUACAAACCUGGGAGCCUGUGUCCUUAGUUUUACAUCACCUUGAGACCCAAGCCAGGGUCGUCUGGGAAAAGGGAGUCUGAAUUGAGAAAACUGCCUCCAUGGGAUUGGGUUGUAGUGGGGCUUGGUGGCAUGAGCACACAUUUGCCAUGCCAGCAACCUGGAAGGCCGAGGCUCAAGGACCGCUGCAAGCUGGAAGCCACCCUAGGCUACACAGAGAGGACCCAGCCAGCUAGAAGUGGGGUACCUAGUGAGAUGCUAUCUUCAAAAGCCAGGUGUGGGCAUGUAACACCGAGCUCGGGAAGCAGAGGCAGAGGCAGGAGGACUGCCACAAGUUUGAAACCAGCCUGGUCCACAAAGAUCCCACAGCGGCCAGGGUUCUGUCUCUCUGCAGUGAGGGAUCCACAUCAAGACCAUGUCUCGAGAAAUAAACAUUGAAAUUAAAAAAAAAACAAAAACAAAAUAAAAAAAGAAUUCUGC